rnacentral:rRNA from 1 species
UGAAACCAGGAUUAGAUACCCUGUUAUACUAAAAUUAAAAUAAUAAUAAUCUUGAGUAGUAAUGAUAAAUUGGUUCGAAAUUCAAAGAGUUUGGCGGUGUUUUAGUCUAGUUGGAGGAACCUGUUUUAUAAACGAUAAUCCACGUAAUAUCUUUCUUGUUUUGGUCAUAGUUAGUAUACCAUCAUUAUUAGAUAAUUUUAUUUGAUAAAGGAAUUAUUGCAAUUAAUUUAUUUUAAAUAUAUUAGAUCACGGUGCUGCUUAUAAGCAAGUAAAAAUGGGUUACAAUAGUCUUAAUUUAUCACGGAUAUUUCAGAUGAAACUCUAUAUUGAAGGUGGAUUUAAUAGUAAUGUACGUUUAAUAUGCGUGCAUGAGAUCGGCUCUAAAAUAUGUACAUAUCGCCCGUC